AACGAACGCUGGCGGCAUGCCUAACACAUGCAAGUCGAACGAGACCUUCGGGUCUAGGGGCGCACGGCUGCGUAACGCGUGGGAACCUACCCUUAGGUUAGGAAUAACUCCCCGAAGGGGAUGCUAAUACCGGAUAAUGUCUUCGGACCAAAGAUGUAUCGCCUUUGGAUGGGCCCGCGUUGGAUUAGCUAGUUGGUAGGGUAAAAGCAGGCCAAGGCGACGAUGCAUGGCUGGUCGGAGAGGAUGAUCCGCUAGACUGGGGCUGAGACACGGCCCAGACUGGGAGGGGAGGGUGCAGAGGGGUAUACUGGAGAAGGGGGGCAAGCCUGACAAAGCCACGCGGGGGGAGUGAUGAAGGGCUUAGUAUUGUACAGUCCCUUUAGCCGGGACGAUAAUGACAGUACCGGGUGAAUAAGCACCGGCUAACUACGUG
rnacentral:rRNA from 1 species